rnacentral:rRNA from 1 species
GAUGAACGCUAGCUACAGGCUUAACACAUGCAAGUCGAGGGACCGGCGCACGGGUGAGUAACACGUAUCCAACCUGCCCUUUACUCGGGGAUAGCCUUUCGAAAGAAAGAUUAAUACCCGAUAUAAAGGAUGGGGAUGCUUUCCAUUAGGUUGUUGGUGAGGUACCGGCUCUCCAAGCCUUCGAUGGAUAGGGGUUCUGAGAGGAAGGUCCCUCACAUUGGAACCGAGACACGGUCCAAACUCCUGCGUGAGGCAGCAGUGAGGAAGAUUGGUCAAUGGCCGGUAGCCUGAACCAGCCAAGUAGCGUGAAGGAUGACGGCUUAUGGGUCGUUGACUUCUGUUAUAUAAGAAUAUGUAGUAUAUGAAUAAGGAACGGCUAACUCCGUGCCAGCAGCCGCGGUAAUAC